UGGGGAAUUUUGGACAAUGGGCGAAGCCUGAUCCAGCAAUGCCGCGUGUGUGAAGAAGGCCUUCGGGUUGUAAAGCACUUUUGUCCGGAAAGAAAUCCUUGGCUCUAAUACAGUCGGGGGAUGCGGUACCGGAAGAAUAAGCACCGGCUAACUACGUGCCAGCAGCCGCGGUAAUACGUAGGGUGCAAGCGUUAAUCGGAAUUACUGGGCGUAAAGCGUGCGCAGGCGGUUUGCUAAGACCGAUGUGAAAUCCCCGGGCUCAACCUGGGAACUGCAUUGGUGACUGGCAGGCUAGAGUAUGGCAGUAGGGGGGUAGAAUUCCACGUGUGANCAGUGAAAUGCGUAGAGAUGUGGAGGAAUACCGAUGGCGAAGGCAGCCCCCUGGGCAAUACUGACGCUCAUGCACG
rnacentral:rRNA from 1 species